rnacentral:misc_RNA from 1 species
UUUAAUCAGUCUUGUAGCCAGUCAUCAUCUAAGACAAAUCAUGCAUCAUCUAUGAAUCUGCCCACAUCUACUAAUUCUUCUGCAACUUUAAGCGAUGAAGAGCUUGCAUUGCUUUUGCAUCAAGAACUCAAUAGUUCGCCUAGAGUUCCUCGUGUUCCACGUGUUCGUCAUGCAGGUAGCUUACCCCAGCUGGCUUCUGCCGCAGCAACAAGCAUGCUAAUAAAACGUACAUCUAGUUCUGGAGGAAGAGAUCAUAGUUUGGCUUCUAGAAGAAAAAAUAAGGAUGCAUCUAAAGAUGGUUUUCCCCGUUCUCAUGAGCCUGAUGAUGAGGCUAAAAAAACUGACAAGGUUCCAUGUUCACCUGAUCAGAAGAGGCAGGAUACAGGAUGUACUGCUGACGAUUUGUCUAAGAGAGAGGAUAAUAGAUCUCCGACGGCAGUACAUUCUGUAAAGAGAAGCAUCCCUCCUGCUUCCACCUCAACUGCAAACAGUGGCCCAUCUUCCCCUACUAAUGUUAAUGAACAUCAUUUUUCUUCUACACGUAAUUCACCAAGAAAUAUGUCCGAUGAGGAGACGAGCACUGUCCAGGGUACUGUUCAUCGCACUUUACCAGGCUUAAUCAAUGAGAUUAUGAGCAAAGGCAGGCGCAUGACAUACGAGGAACUCUGUAAUGCUGUCUUGCCGCACUGGCAUAACUUGAGGAAACAUAAUGGAGAACGUUAUGCAUAUUCAAGUCAUUCUCAGGCUGUUCUUGACUGCCUUAGGAACCGACAUGAGUGGGCUCAGUUGGUGGAUCGUGGUCCCAAGACAAACUCAAGUAGGAAGAGGCGCAAACUUGAUGCUGAGGAAUCAGAAGAUAAUGACUGUGGCAAGGGAAGAAAUGCGAAGGAGGGUGAAAGUAAAAGCCUUGAAUCACAAAGAGAAGAGUUUCCCAAGGGCAAGCGGAAAGCAAGGAAACGAAGGCGUCUGGCACUGCAAGGAAGAGGAAUAAAGGAAAUUAGGAAGAGUCGGAAGGCAGAUUUGCUUACUGAUGAUGAUAGUGGGCCAUUUUCUAAUUCAAGUGAUGAAAGUUUGUUCAGUGAAGAUGAGAUUCGGGGUGGUGGAGGCGGUCCAGUUGGAAGUGAGGCCUCAGCUAGCUCGGAUGAGACAGGGGCAAUGUGAUUGUUAAUGUUUGACUUUUGGUUUUUGGUCUGUGUUGUUGAUUUCAGGAGGAAGCCAGGCUUCUCCUUUUUCUGCUGGGAAUCUGGUAUGGUUAUCCUCUGAUGCGGCUGCCAUUAGUUUUCAGAGCUCAUGGAAUUUUAGCAAGUUAGUAAGGUGUCGCAAUCACUGUUGUAUGAUCCCCGUGGAAUUGUUACUGUUUUUAUGUCAGCCCAGUGAAACCCUAUAACCAGUUGCAUAUUAUCAUUGACCAUCCUGAAUGUCAUUGGUGGUGAGCAUAGUCUUGCAGGGAUGUGGGAUAUUGAGGCGUGGCUGAUUCUGAUAUUGAAAGUUAUAAU